rnacentral:rRNA from 1 species
ACGAACGCUGGCGGCGUGCCUAAUACAUGCAAGUCGAACGGUCUUUCUAUGGAAGCUUGCUUCCACUGAGAAGAUAGUGGCGAACGGGUGAGUAACACGUGGGUAACCUGCCCAUAAGAGGGGGAUAACAUCCGGAAACGGGUGCUAAUACCGCAUAGUUUUUCUUGAUCGCAUGAUUGAGAAAGGAAAGACGGCCUUUGUGCUGUCGCUUAUGGAUGGACCCGCGGCGUAUUAGUUAGUUGGUGAGGUAACGGCUCACCAAGACGAUGAUACGUAGCCGACCUGAGAGGGUGAUCGGCCACAUUGGGACUGAGACACGGCCCAAACUCCUACGGGAGGCAGCAGUAGGGAAUCUUCCGCAAUGGACGAAAGUCUGACGGAGCAACGCCGCGUGAGUGAAGAAGGGUUUUUUCGGAUACGUAAAACUCUGUUGUCAGAGAAGAACAAGUUGGAGAGUAACUGCUCCAGCCUUGACGGUAUCUGACCAGAAAGCCACGGCUAACUACGUGCCAGCAGCGGC